UAGUAUAAAAUACCUUUUAUUCACCUGAUGUAAGUGUCCUGUGGGAGACUUGUUGCCUCUGUCUGCUAGCCUAGUCCUAGUUCUGGAAGCUUCAAGCCUCCUUAUAGUCUUAUCUAGGGCUAGAAUGUGUUCAGCCUCUGAGACUUACUGAACAAGCUCACCCUUUCUAGCUAUUGCAGAUUUCCAGCUGGCUGGUUCAACUCAGCUGUUCUGGAUCAAAUGCCUGUCCAAGCUGAGCAAUUCAAUCUGACUUCUCUCUCCACCUCUGACUUUUUGCUUUGCUUGGCCUCCUACUAACUCUGGCGAUCUGUUCUAAUAUGGCUCCUUCUCAUUCUCUGGCUCAUUCUGUCUUCACCGUGUCUGGCUUGCUACUUCUCUUACUAUCCUGGUAAAACUGCCUCCUCGUUUAUACUUUCUGUGCUCUCUUAAGUAGCUUCCCUUUCUUCUCUUUUCUCAUGAGAGUUGCGCAUAUCCUUUCUCUGGUUCAUCAUGUAUUUCUGCCACUCAAUUAAACAUCACUUUCAAACAUGGCUGCUUCCUCCUACAGACUAACUUAACCUUCAUUGUUUGGGAUUAAAGGUGUGUUCUAAAGGCUGAACCACACCACAA
rnacentral:sRNA from 1 species